rnacentral:misc_RNA from 1 species
GUGAAUCAUCGAAUCUUUGAACGCACAUUGCGCCCAUUGGUAUUCCGAUGGGCAUGCCUGUUCGAGCGUCAUUAUCCUCCCUCAAACCUCGUGUUUGGUGUUGGACCACGUUGGCCGAGCGACCAACUGGUCUCAAAGACAAUGACGGCGUCCGUGGGACCCUCGGUGCAACGAGCUUCUAAGGAGCACGCGUCGAGUUUCAAGGACCCUCCGGGCCGGUCUUAACCUCCAUCUUCUCAGGUUGACCUCGGAUCAGGUAGGAAUACCCGCUGAACUUAAGCAUAUCAAUAAGCGGAGGA